AUUGACCGCUGGCGGCAGGCCUAACACCUGCAAGUCGAGCGAGCUGCGGACGGGUGAGUAAUGUCUGGGGACUGCCCGAUAGAGGGGGAUAACUACUGGAAACGUUGGCUAAUACCGCAUACUAUCGGAUAACCCAUAUGGGAUUAGCUAGUAGGUGGGGUAAAGGCUCACCUAGGCGACGAUCUCUAGCUGGUCUGCUAGUAUGAUCAGCAACACUGGGACUGAGACACGGCCCAGACUCCUACGGAGGCAGCAGUGGGGAAUAUUGCACAAUGGGCGCAAGCCUGAUGCAGCCAGGCCGCGUGUAUGAAGAAGGCCUUAGGGUUGUAAAGUACUUUCAGCGGGGAGGCGUUACCCGCAGAAGAAGCACCGGCUAACUCCGUGCCAGCAGCCGCGGUAAUUC
rnacentral:rRNA from 1 species